UAGUAACUGAUCGAAUCGCAUGGCCUUGUGCGCGGGGAUAGUCAUUCAAAUUUCUGCCCUAUCAGCUUUCGACGGUAGUGUAGUGGACUACCGUGCAUUUACGGGUUGACGGAGGAAUUAGGGUUCGAUUCCGGAGAGGGAGCCUGAGAAAUGGUACCACAUCCAAGGGAGGCAGCAGGCGCGCAAAAUUACCCAAUCCUGACACAGGGAGGUAGUGACAAUAAAUAACAAUAUAGGGCUCUUUUGGGUCUUAUAAUUGGAAUGAGUACAAUUUAAAUCCCUUAACGAGGGAACAAUUGGAGGGCAAGUCUGGUGCCGGCAGCCCGGGUAAUUCCAGCUCCAAUAGCGUAUAUUAAAG
rnacentral:rRNA from 1 species